rnacentral:rRNA from 1 species
GACGAACCGAGCGAACGUUGUUCGGAAUCACUGGGCUUAAAGGGCGCGUAGGCGGGUGCUCAAGUCCGGGGUGAAAUCCUCCAGCUCAACUGGAGAACUGCCUCGGAUACUGGGUGCCUCGAGGGUGGUAGGGGUAUGCGGAACUAUCGGUGGAGCGGUGAAAUGCGUUGAUAUCGAUAGGAACACCGGUGGCGAAAGCGGCGUACUGGGUCUUAUCUGACGCUGAGGCACGAAAGCUAGGGUAGCGAACGGG